GUUAUCGUCUGCUACUUUGUUUGUCCGGUUAGGAGAGAAUUCGUCGAUGAUGCAGGACAGGGGAGAAAUAUACAAUUUGAGGACAAGUUUUGCAGCGUAAGGGUGUGGCAUCUGCGCCACGCAAAUGAUCUUUAUUAAAGCAUUGGCGUCAGGAGGUGGAGACGGUAUCAUAAAAUUGUCAGAUUUUUGUAUCUAUAAUCGCAAAUGUUGGCGAUUUUGUUUUGCUUUGACGGGGCCCGUCUCCUGGUUUGCGUGCGCGUCAUCGGCAGGAUGAGGUCGUAUUUUUGUGUCUGCUGGUUUGCCUGUCAGAUUCUCAGGAAUUCAUUGGAAAAAAAAAACGGAAUUGUGGAAAUUAUACAAUUUGGAGACGGAUUUUAAUUCUUUUUAAUUUGAUGUCAGCUCCGGGAUAAUGAUCCUUGUUAGUGCAGUGGCAUCAGGAGGUGGAGACGGCGUUGUAAGAUUGUCAAAUUUUUGUGUUUAUAAUCACAAAAUAUGGUGAUUUUGUUUUUCUUUGCAGGGCUCGUCUUCUCUUGUUGGUUGCUUUGGAUCACCAGUUGGCUGUGUUUAUUGAGGUUUAGCGUCUCUAAUGUAGGCGCUCGUCGAUCUGAGAGAAUUUAAGAGUAGUGGAAAGGAUAGAUUUUGCAGCUCCGCGCUGAGAGCCCUGAACGAAGCGUAGGCAGCUUAUAUGGCCCGUCUAUUGCAGUGCAGCACUGCAAGUGGAUUGCAUCGGAGAUAAGGGAUACUAAUCGGGACCGUGUGGCAAGGAGGUUCAGGACUUGGUUGUAUUUUUCGUAUCUUUCAUCAGUAUCAGCUGGAGUGCGUUUUCGUAAGCUUGAUUAUCCGGAUGCUUUGAGGUGAAAUUAGGCUGUGUCGAGGAAGGAGAUGACCGAGCAAGAGUUUGGGAGCAGACUGACGUGCGCUUUUCCAUCGGAUAUAGAUGUUGUUAGAAUAAGUAUAAGUAAAUGUAGGAUUAAUUGGAAGUUUCCAUGUCAGGAUUGUUAACUCUUCCUUGUAUGAUUAAGGCCAAUAAACUGUCAAUUUUCUUCUCUAAA